GAUGAACGCUAGCGGCAGGCUUAAUACAUGCAAGUCGAGGGGCAGCAGGACUGUAGCAAUACAGUUGCUGGCGACCGGCAAACGGGUGCGGAACACGUACGCAACCUACCCAAAACUGGGGGAUAGCCCGGGGAAACCCGGAUUAAUACCUCGUAACCUUUUUAAGUGGCAUCACUUGAUAAGUAUAGCUCCGGCGGUUUUGGAUGGGCGUGCGCCUGAUUAGGUAGUUGGUGCGGGUAACGGCCCACCAAGCCUGCGAUCAGUAACUGGUGUGAGAGCACGACCAGUCACACGGGCACUGGGACACGGGCCCGACUCCUACGGGAGGCAGCAGUAAGGAAUAUUGGUCAAUGGACGCAAGUCUGAACCAGCCAUGCCGCGUGAAGGAUGAAGGUCCUCUGGAUUGUAAACUUCUUUUAUGGGGGACGAAACCCGGAUAUUCUUAUCCGAUUGACGGUACCUCAGGAAUAAGCACCGGCUAACUACGUG
rnacentral:rRNA from 1 species